CUGAAAGUGAGGUGCCACUGUGCCUGCAGGUGUAACAGGCAGAGUAAAAUUUACUUGUGCUUGCUGUUCUGUGUUUUUGUGCAGGCAGCAUUGUCCUUGUGCUUUGGCCUAUUUCACCUUUACUUGUCUCCAUUCUGGGUACAACAGUGGUCUGUUGUAGGAGCAGGAGGAGCAUUACAGGCCAUGAUUUGUUGUUGUGGCCUAUAUCAACGGUAAGAAAAGCUUGAAAUCUGCAGAAGCACAACUCUCUUCAUCUUGAAGCAAUAACACGUACAAGACAAAACCAUGUUCUGCUGCUGAAACACAUAUAUGAAGAGUUUCUUCAUGCACUUUAUGUGCACUUGUCCUGGGAAAUUGUCGUUUGAGUCACAGUGGUUCUUCUCUAUAGAUGACUAUUUGGCUGGAAUUAGAAGGGAGCCUCCUGUGCACAUUUUCUUUGAUUAUAUUGAUCUAGAAAGUUCUUCAGUAAGCCUGGCUGAGUGAAACAUAAAGUCUGUCAAGACUUCUGGCUGAACAGUUUUAAGCUGUCUACUUCCUGAAAGCAAUACUGGAAUCAGAAGCCCUGCUGUGAUGGUGCAGUCUACUGGGUCACUUCUGUCUGGGUUGCAUGCUAAUCAACUCAACCUGAAAUGCUGAUGGUGUUAAAGUAUUCUGUACCAUUCAUAACGGUUAACUAAAAUGCAAACAUUUGAUUCAUGUCACACAAGAGAUUUGCCACCCAGGAAACUCAAAAUUAUGACUAAAAUAUCAGCCCAUCAUGUUCAUCUCAGACCCCUAGUACUUCAAACUCUAACACUGUAGGAGAAUGAGUUCAGCUUUCCCAAUGAUACCCGUGUCCUCUUUGUAAUGUGCAAUUAUUAUUUCACUAACACCUCUCAUUCUAUCUACGUCAAAACUUAGAGUGAAUCUAAUGAACAGAGACAAACUGAAAUGAUUGCCAGCAUCAAAGAGAAAAAUAUUUUAUGUUGUGUGUGAAGACAAUAAUGAGAGUUUAGUUUUGGUUUUCAUUUGCUUUCAUUUUGUCUUCUUGUAGAUUAAAAAUAGUCAAAGUAUGUUCUCAAGUUUUUAAUAAAAGGCUUUCAAGUAUUGAACA
rnacentral:lncRNA from 1 species